rnacentral:miRNA from 9 species
CACACAUACUUAGUAGCUAGAU